UACAGAGGGGCAAGCGUUGUCCGGAAUCACUGGGCGUAAAGGGUGCGUAGGCGGGUCUUUAAGUCAGGGGUGAAAUCCUGGAGCUCAACUCCAGAACUGCCUUUGAUACUGAGGAUCUUGAGUUCGGGAGAGGUGAGUGGAACUGCGAGUGUAGAGGUGAAAUUCGUAGAUAUUCGCAAGAACACCAGUGGCGAAGGCGGCUCACUGGCCCGAUACUGACGCUGAGGCACGAAAGCGUGGGGAGCAACAGG
rnacentral:rRNA from 1 species